rnacentral:misc_RNA from 1 species
GAAAUGCGAUAAGUAGUGUGAAUUGCAGAAUUCAGUGAAUCAUCGAAUCUUUGAACGCACAUUGCGCCCUUUGGCAUUCCGAAGGGCAUGCCUGUUCGAGCGUCAUUGCAACCCCUCCAGCCCCCGUGCUGGGUGCUGGGCGUCUUGUGCUUGCGCGCCUUUGCGCGGCACUCGCCUGAAAAGCAUCGGCGCCGGCGCGUCGGCCCUGCGCGUAGCAUACUGUUCGCGCACGGGACCCCGCCGCGACGGCCGCCGCCAACCCGCAGCGCACGGCGGCUCUCCGCCCCCGCAGCAGCACCUUUGACUUGACCUCGGAUCAGGUAGGGAUACCCGCUGAACUUAA